GUGUGUGUGUGUGUGUGUGUGUGUGUAAAGGCAAUAGCGAAUUUACAUUACUAGGUUAUUUCUCACAGGUGUUCUCCACGAAAGCCGAAGUAGGCCUUAACUCGGUAGCGUUAUUUUUACUCAGGUAAUUAAAAAGCAUUUCUAGUUCAUUGUCAUUCACUAUCACUGUGGAAAAAUCUCUGGAGCAGGUUGCUCCCCUUCUCCUCCUUGGGAUCUGAGUUCCCCGUAAAUUAGAAUUUGAUUAUCAUCAUUAAACUCAUAUUGUUUUCCACAGUGAUAGUGAUUAACACGCUUUACGAACUUUUUGAUUAACUCCCCGAGAUAUUGCCUGAUUUGGCUUCCGUGAAGAACAGAAGUAGCUAUAGCCUACGCAUGAGGGCAGAACAUCAUUCGUCCUUCGUGCGUAAGUAUUCCGUGUAAAAAAUAAUAAUAAUAAAUAAAAAUCCCCUGAUAGAAUUCCUUCCUGAAACAGGUACUCCCUCCACUGAGAGUCAAGCGUUUUCGGUACAAGAAUUACCGAGAAUUAAUACCUUGCAACUUUAGGAGUAUAGAAUCCUAAAGGGUAUUGCUCUGUUCUGGGGAAAUCGUAAAGGCGAAGUCAUCAAUGAAAUUAGUUCUUGCCCACUUUCACGUCACAGCUCCAGAGAAAGUGCUAGCGAAUUUAUUAGGCAAAGGAUCCGUAUCGCUAUGGGUAAUGAUUCUUGCUGGGUUAACGUUCUUUCAUGGCGGACUUUUCUCUUUCGAUCUCCUUUCUUGUUGAAAAAUUCCACAGUUCGUGUUUUUUAUUUUUGUUUUUUUAUUAUAAUGUUACUAUAAUAUAUGGCAUUGGUUCGCAACAGGGAGCAAGAUUUUCAUCGAAGUUUAGAAAACACAAGGCAGGAGGAAUACUUUCGACGUUGCUAGGACCUUCGUGAAUCAGGUUCCUCUGCGUCGACAAAAGCAGUUGACAAAAAGGCCAGAAACCGCCUAAGAUCCGGUGAACAGCUUAAAACAUAUAAAGUGGUUGAUGCAAUGAACUGAUAUUAGUGCGGAAUACCAGUCGCUUCGGAAAUCAACAGCAACAGAUGACAAAUAAAAGCCCGUUGCAAUCAACGAAAUAUCCAGCAAAAGAGGGCGCCGUUGCCCUUUGCCAAAGCACGCCAACGAAGGAAUCCAUACACAUUAUCAGCAGCAGAUGAGAUGAAGAAAGCGCGUCAGACAAGAGUAUUUCCUCCCGGCGAGCGACCUUACCCCGUUCCUCCUCCUGCUCCUGCUCCUGCUCCUGCUCCUGCUCCACGGGAGAAGACGAACAACACUGCAAGAGAGAGAGAGAGAGAGAGAGAGCUGUCGAUCCAGCGUCUCUUCAUAUAACGUGGCGCUCUCGGCUUCGUUCCGCCGCCCUGUCUUGGUUGUGGUGGGCUUAAGGCGCAAAGAAGUCGAGGACGGAAUAACGUGCCGCAUUAUUUUGAAGAUUCUAAAAAGAAAAAGGAAAUGAAGAUAGAAGAAAAUUCGAAUACCUUUUUAAAGAUGUGUGUGGGACAGGGAGGGCGAGAGAAUGAGAGAGAGAGAGAGAGAGAGAGAGAGAGAGAGAGAGAGAGAGAGAAUGAGAGAGAGAGAGAGAGAGAGAGAGAGAGAGAGAGAGAGAGAGAGAGAGAGAGAGAGAGAGAGAGAAAGAGAGAGAGAGAGAGAGAGAGAGAGAAUGAUAAUGACGAUGAUGGAGAUUAUGAUCACGAUAUUGAUGACGAUAGCGAUAACAAUAACAAUUAUGAUAUUAUCUAAUACACAGAAUCUCUACCAUUACUAGUAGGUGUAAUAAAGGCCUAUUUUGUCUAUGCUGACUCUACCUCAUGAACAACUGAAACGGUCACCAUUAGCACGCCUGAUUAAUCAUUCCACGUUUCAUCAGUGACUCGUUUCGUGGCAGACCCAUAUCUAAACAGAUCAAUAGCCAGAGCUACAAAAAGGAAAGAAACGGGAGAAACAUCGGUGUCUUAUUACCCUAAUGGAAGGCUGUGGAAAAAAGGCCACUUCCUCUAG
rnacentral:lncRNA from 1 species